CCAACCUUUUGGUGAGGCCAGGACUCGUCCAUGGUCUCGCAAAACCUGUAUUUAAAACCCGCACGUAUAACCAAAAAACAUGUAGUAUGAUAAGUAAAUUAAGA
rnacentral:misc_RNA from 1 species